UAUGUAUUACAUGACAAUUGAUCUGGUAUAAAUACUGAUCAUUGAUAUUGAAAGGAUCUCAGCUAAAGUUUAUUGGACACAACAAGAUGGUGUUAUCAAAAAAAAACCGAGCAAAGCUCGGUCAUCAUCUAGUAUUAUUACAAUAACGAAGAAAAGCAGGCUACGAGCACCUACUCCUACGCCUACGGUGCCUACUCAGGAACACAAGCUAGCGGCUCACCCGAAGUGAAAUAGCCAACGAAACUAAAAGACAACGCAUUAUGAAUCCGGCAUUUACUUGCCUUAUUAAAGACUGUCAAAUCCUGUGAACUGAAAUGUUUAGCUGCAUUAUGGUAAAAAUAGACUGGAUGGUGGAACCCAAACCCAGGAAUGCUCAUGGUUGUUACAGUGUAGUGCGAUUCCCAUACGCAAGUG